UUGCCAGACUCCUACGGGAGGCAGCAGUGAGGAAUAUUGGUCAAUGGGCGGGAGCCUGAACCAGCCAAGUCGCGUGAGGGAUGACGGUCCUACGGAUUGUAAACCUCUUUUGCCGGGGAGCAAGCGUGCGUUCGUGAACGCGCGUCGAGAGUACCCGGAGAAAAAGCAUCGGCUAACUCCGUGCCAGCAGCCGCGGUAAUACGGAGGAUGCGAGCGUUAUCCGGAUUUAUUGGGUUUAAAGGGUGCGUAGGCGGGCUGUUAAGUCAGCGGUCAAAUGUGGGGGCUCAACCCCGGCCUGCCGUUGAAACUGGCGGCCUCGAGUGGGCGAGAAGUAUGCGGAAUGCGUGGUGUAGCGGUGAAAUGCAUAGAUAUCACGCAGAACUCCGAUUGCGAAGGCAGCAUACCGGCGCCCGACUGACGCUGAGGCACGAAAGCGUGGGUAUCGAACAGGAUUAGAUACCCCGGUA
rnacentral:rRNA from 1 species